rnacentral:lncRNA from 1 species
AAAGAUGUGUGCUCUCAUCGUGCUCAGGUUUGCGUGCUAAACACUGACCACCGCCCGGGAGUGCUUGCCAGACAGGAAAACUAAGAAGUCUUGGAAAUGGCCAUGGAGCACAUAUUUAACUUGCAAAAGGCUGAGCGCAGGCUGUCAGGAUCUGACCUUGCCAGAACUAGCACACAUGCCUAACUGCUACCAAACUCACUGGAGAGCUUCUGCGAGUAAAACAACUUCACUGUUUGCAAGGCAGCCCCCGCGAAGCACAAAUGCAAGCAGCCUUCCUGAGACAUUUCUUGGCUUGGAAACGGUGCCGCGGCUGCAGCUGCAUGGAUCCAUGGCAACGGGAGCGCCGAGCAGUCCCGCUUCCCCAACCCCACGCCAGCAGAGCGGAGGUGAGCGUGUCCUUCAGCCCCCCCAAUGCCCAGCGGGAUCCAGACACACACCACCAGCGGGACGCUGCCGCUCAAAAGCCCUGGUGCUGGAGCCAGGCUCCUGCUGUGAACUGAGCCACGACCAUGUCAUAUACGCCCAACACGAGAAGGUGAAUGAAAUGAGAGUUACAGCUGUAAUAAAGGUAUCAUGCGUAGAGGAGGGUUGA